GUCAGAACUCACGUGCUGUUAGAACGGACCUGAAGGUUCCAUGGUUGCUAUGGGUUUAUUUCGGGUGCAUCGUUCAGAACCGAUCAUCUUUCAAACACAAACAAACUCCAGACGAUCAGAAAAACUUUUGGCUUUUGGCUUCGCACUACAUUUCUUUGAAAAAGAGACGAUUCCUUGGAGAAAGAAACGAUUCCUUCAAGAAAGAGACUUCGAACGACGACUGCGCAUCGCACCCGAGCAUCUUCCUGCUACCCUCUACAGCUACUCACACCGAGGAGGAGUUUCUCCUGGAAAAAAUGGAGCAGGACACCUGGACAGCGCUUCUUGUUCCUGUCCCCAGUUCCUCCAUCAUCCCUCAGGUCGUCCUCCACAAGGUCCCUGUGCCAGCCUGUCACAGCGUUCUACCUCUCCCCUCUCUCUUUCUGUGUUUAAGUCAGUUUUUGAAUUUCCUUUUUAUGAAGAAGAGUGUUGUUAUUCAUUUUAUUUUCCUUAAAUUUCUGUGAAUGAUUUGUAUUGAAUUUAUUUGAUUUGAUUUGCUUUGAAAUUGAUUGAUUGAUUGAGGGACUGUGGUGUUCUUGUUGCUGCACAAUUGAAAAAGAGUCUGAGAUGGAAAAAAGAGAAGAGAAAAAUCAGAGUGGAGGAGAGGAGAGGAGGUGCAGGGCAACAUGACAUGUAAACCCUCUCAUGUAAAAGAGAGGAGAAAAAAUGAGGGAAGAGGCAUGAAGAGAUGAGUAAAAAAGACAGUAAUAAGAAGAGAGGAGAGGAGAGGAGGUGGGAGGGCAAUAUGUUGUGCCAACCCUCCCAUGUACACGAAAGAGGAGAGAAGACAUGAUUGAGGAAGAGACAUAACAUGUAAACCCUCUGAAUGUAAAAGAGAGAAGAAACAAUUAGAGACAUUAAAAAAAGAAAAAGACAUUAAAAAGAAGAGAGGAGAAAAUUAAACAUAAAUACAAAUGCAGUGAUUAUAUCUGUUUAACAAAUUUCUACAUUUUUAGCUUCAACCUGUUUGGCCUCUGUUUUUCUUUUAGAGAGGAGAG